AUAAAUACAAAAAAUCAGAUUUCUCAAUAAGGAAACCCGAAAAUUUCCAGAUUUUUCUCCUCCUCGCUGCCUUGGCUUCACGGCGUCGCCACGACUUCAUCCGGCCACCUAUGGCCAUGAAAUUGAUAUCAAUCUCUUCGCCUUGAAACCAGCUUUCCAUUCAUAUAUGUCUUGCAUCCUAUCAUUCACCAUAGACAACGAAUCGAAGCAAAGAAGGUCAGACCAUUUUUCAUGCAUUUCUUCAAAUUCCAGCCAACUCCGGCAAAGGUAGGAGGGGAGACCAACUGGGCUUUGUUCGCCUUGCCAUGCUCUAUAAACUCACCAAGUUUCACAUCUCGAUUCAACCCGAGGAAGACGAAUUUCAGAUUUGAGCGAUUUUGGGCGAUUUCGGCCUCUUUCUUCUUGAGGUGAUUGGCGGAUUGAUUUGGCGGACGAUUCGUAAAAUCGUUGUUGAGCUGUUUAGAAGACGCAACGGGAAUUAGAGCGGGUAUUCCUACAGGACAGGAGAACCAGGACGGUGAUCGUGCGGUUAGAGCAAUUGUUAGAGUUUUACAGCAAUUGUAAGUUGUGAGGUGUGUUAUGCUCAUUUGAGCUUUACAAUAUUGCUUGUGAGAGUGAAUUGUAAUAAUGAACUCGAAGUUUCGAGAUUUGGAUUUUGUAAUUGUAAUUAUUCAUGUUUCGGAUUUGAAUUUACUAUUCAAAAUUCGGGGCGUGACAGUUUGGUAUCAGAGCGUAAGGUGCAUAUUUGGUGAUGUGUCAAUACCUUCCGAGUGAUGGCCCGUCUGCAGCGGAUCCCCAUCGUGUGCUCUUUGGUAUUGGCUAAGUCAUUGGGUAUGCGUGAGUGUUGGGAGUUGUUUAGGCCGCUAGGUCGUUUAGGGAACGUGAAUACAUUCCCUAUAGUAUUGACUUGGUUAAUAUGAAUUUGUAUUUGACUUAUACUGUGUUUUAAGUGUUAUACAAGUAUUAGCCAAGCAUACUAUACUCCUUAGGUGAUGGAUAUUCGAAGGGGUUGUACUUAGAACCUUACAGUUGUCUUGUAGGUUCGUAUGAGAAUAAGUUCAGUGGCCGCGAGUUACAAUCCUUGAGGAAUAGGAACCUCUUGAUUCAACUCUGUUAAGUCAACGAGGAUUGUUUUAUGGAAAUGAGGUUCUUUUGAUUGUUGAAGUGUUUGGUUGAAGGCAUGGUCUGGACCUAUGCUCGUCUGUAAUGUGGAUACGAGUAUUAAUCGAUGGUAAUUUUGCCUUUUUAAGUUGGAUAUACUAAUGUUCUUGAAUAGAUUCUUGACUCAUGUGGAGUUGUGAGUAGUGUUGCGGUUAGGGAAGGAAUUAUUGCGGUUACUUCUUCCUUGUGCUUGUAAGUUGUUAAGCAGGGUUUAAGGUGCGAGACAAGAAUUUUAUUUUGUGCUCGAUGGUUAGAGAGGAGAGACCAUUGUUUUGGGUUGUCGUUGAGUACUAUAAUUCCUUCAGAAUCAAGAUUGUUGGUAGAAUUAGAAUUAGUAGUAGUUUUGGUGAUUCUGAAUUUGAAUUGAGUUCGCGAGAUGUGUCUUAUAUACGUGGUUGAUGUUGCUUGCAUCAUUUUGGAACGAUACGUUACGAUUCACAAGGAAAACUGGAUUUGAAAUUUAUUCAUUUGAACACCAUGGGUUGAUGACCUGACCGUGACUUGUGAAUAUAGUUUUGUUCAAGUGAAUGAAAUUGAAUUUUGUGGCCUUUGUGUGGUGAACUAGUUUUCUUAAGUUUUGGAUCGUAGUAUGGAGAUGGGCUGCAGUGAAUUUGAAGUUGUUGUGUGUUUUAAGUUUAAGUAGGCGGGACACUUAAAGUUUUGCAAUGGAGUUGAUUUUGGUGUAAUUAAUUGGGAGAGUUAGAAUCAGUUCUUGUGAAUGAUGUUGGAUGAGAGUGUGUGCCUUUGGUGAUUGAUUUUAGGUGUUAUAGUUAAACGCAAUUUCGGAUAUUGAUUUUAGUGAUUUUGUUAGGUAUCCAUAGUGGUUCAAGUGAAUUACUAUGUGAUAUGGAGUUUGAUUUGAUUUCUGAAUCGCUAAAUGUUAGGGAUUGAAUUGUGGUGAGUUUUUGUUGAAGCAAUUGAUAGAUGGAAUUAUCGAGAUUCUAUAAGAGUUGUAAGAGUAACUCUAAAAACGUGGGUUUUUCCUAGCUAACUCAGGAUGUGUUUAGCUUUAUAAAUCCCUAAUCCUAUCGAUGAAAUUGUUGUGUUUGGUUUGACUCAGAUGAUACUAGCUA